GUAAGGAUUCGUUGAUGUUUGUGAAGAUAAAGAUUCAAAUGAUUGAAGUUGCACUACAAGGUUCUAUAAAAGGUUUGCUAUAAAUACGGGCUAAGUGUUAAGUUGAACCAAGCUUUAAUAGUAUGUCAUGGCUUCAUUUGGUAGUAGAAAUGCACAAUUAGAGGUAAAGUUCUUCUCUUUUGUCUCUCUCACUCAUACAAUAAAAAGGAAAACUAUGACCAUGUGUAAUAGAUAACUUUCAAGUCUAGAAUGUCGGGAUCUAUCCAUUACCAAGAACAGUUAAUGGCAGGUCAAUCCCUGAAGUCAACUUGCAGAGGUAAAAUUUGUGCCUUUUAAAAAAUGUUAGGGUAUGACAAUGUAAAAAUUCCAUAAUGUCCAAAUGCAUAUAGUUUAAAUUUUAAUUGUGGAAUGAGACAUGCUUUCUUUCAAAUAGAAUUUAAAGAUUGCGAGGCCUUAUUGUAUUACAAAUUGAAUAAUAGUUUGAAUUUUGAUUGAGUAAAAAUUAAAGUUUAUUUUCCCUUGCCCAAUCAAAAUAUGGGGUUGAAAUUUGUUGGUCUUGAAUGAAGGACACAUUUUGAUUGAGUAAAAUUUGAGUUUAUUUUCUUUGAUUUGUGUGAAUUCUUCCUGAGCUUAUCAACUUUAAUUCAUAUGCAUUUCUUUAGACGUUUUUAUUUUAUUUUAUUUCUGACUUUAAUUUUUGCAUAACUUAACUGCUCUAUAAAGAACUACUAUCUAUCUUCACUGCCUCAUUAAGAGUUGCAUCAAAAUACCUUUAUGGUGUUGAAUAUUGUUCAGUCCAUCAAAAUACCUUUAAUUUUUCUCAUUCAUUUAUGGUGUUGCACCAAAAGAGCUGAUGUAUCGUGUCGACAAUUUAGUUGCGUCAUAAGGAGAAUUGUCAUAUAGAUAGGUGAUUCGGCUGAGUCACAGAGAGUGAUUAUAUUUGAGGUAUGUAAAUUACGUAGAUGUUCUGCUCCUAAAGAAAAUAAAGUUCUUCAAAAUUCAAUGUCAGAUUGAGAACUCUAUACAUUCAAUGUCACAUAGAUUUUUCGACUGUGCUUUAUUUUGUUGAUUUAUUUGAAGGUAUAGUUGCAAGGCUUAUUGCCAUUUGAUUUUUAAUUACACGUGUUAGUUUAUAUAUGCUAAGGUUAUCACUAUGUAUAGAGCACAUGCAUACACGAAUCUAUAUAGAUGAGUUUCUACACAUUGUGAAUUAACAACUCACAUUUUGCAUAUUUUCUAAUAAUAAUACAUAGAGCAUCUGCAAUAUUUAGCAAUUAUAAUUUACUCCACACAUUGGAAAAUCAUAAUUCAGUUUUUGAUUAUGAUUACAUAGAGCAUCUGCAACAUUUUUUAUUGUAAUUCAAUUUAUAACUAAAUCAUAAUUGUACAUCUUACUUAAUUAAAGAAAAUCCGAGCUGCAUAUCAUACCUCAUUGGAACACAUGUUUUACUCCACACAGGUGAAGAAGCGCCCUGCAUAUCUCUUCCCUAAGUCUCCUUAGUCUCUUUUACACUUGAACACAAAAGUUUCAUUCACCCAAGUUUCUAAAUUCUCAUAUUCUCCACUUUUGGCCACCAUCAUCUGAAGAGUGACCACAUAGGUUUUAGAUUGCAUCAUGUGCCAUGUUGCAAUGGAUGGGAGGAUCAAGGCUUAAAGCUACGGCAAACAUGAUGAAAGUGACAUUGCUGCUAUAGAACUCAAAGUGGAGCUAAUCUCAAGUGCAACUUAAUGUGUUUUUUCUAUUGUGAAAUUGUAUAUACAGAUGUAAAUGACACUGGUGUAGUAAUAUAUUAUUAGAAUUAUAUAUA